rnacentral:rRNA from 1 species
UACGUAGGGUGCAAGCGUUUAUCCGGAAUUAUUGGGCGUAAAGAGCUCGUAGGCGGUUUGUCGCGUCUGCUGUGAAAACUGGAGGCUCAACCUCCAGCCUGCAGUGGGUACGGGCAAACUAGAGUGCGGUAGGGGAGAUUGGAAUUCCUGGUGUAGCGGUGGAAUGCGCAGAUAUCAGGAGGAACACCGGUGGCGAAGGCGGAUCUCUGGGCCGAUACUGACGCUGAGGAGCGAAAGCGUGGGGAGCGAACAGG